rfam:Salmo salar isolate Sally breed double haploid chromosome ssa09, whole genome shotgun sequence.
UGGCUCAGUUGGUAGAGCAUGGUGUUUGCAAUGCCAGGGUUGUGGGUUCAAUUCCCAC